GGCCUUAUGGUCUAGUCGCAUGAUUCCUCGUUUGGGUCAUUUCUUUAAAGUGUUCACUCGUGUCGAGGAGGUCCUGGGUUCAAUUCCCAGUGAGGCCC